CCUACGGGAGGCAGCAGUAGGGAAUAUUGCUCAAUGGGGGAAACCCUGAAGCAGCAACGCCGCGUGGAGGAUGAAGGUUUUCGGAUUGUAAACUCCUUUUGUUAGAGAAGAUAAUGACGGUAUCUAACGAAUAAGCACCGGCUAACUCCGUGCCAUCAGCCGCGGUAAUACGGAGGGUGCAAGCGUUACUCGGAAUCACUGGGCGUAAAGCGCGCGUAGGCGGGAUAGCAAGUCAGAUGUGAAAUCCUAUGGCUUAACCAUAGAACUGCAUUUGACACUGUUAUUCUAGAGUAUGGGAGAGGUAGGUGGAAUUCUUGGUGUAGGGGUAAAAUCCGUAGAGAUCAAGAGGAAUACUCAUUGCGAAGGCGACCUGCUAGAACAUAACUGACGCUGAGGCGCGAAAGCGUGGGGAGCAAACAGGAUUAGAUACCCCAGUAGUC
rnacentral:rRNA from 1 species